UUCCCCUUUUUUUUUUUGGGGGGGGGGGGAGGAAAACCAAAAACUAUAUGAGAAGGAAAUUAUGGAAGCUCAGCUGGUAAAAUGGCCAAGUUUUUUAAAAGAAGCAUAAAUAUAAAAGCCACAUCCUAUAAAUUGCUGACCUUUAAACAUAGACAUGGAAGAAGCCAUUAAAAUCUGUGAAGAUAACAAAGCCCAACUCCUACUUCUUGUGAAAGACUAUAAUGUGGGAAGGUGGAGGGUACCCAGAGGUCUUCCCUUACACCAAAUAAGUAAACCCAGAACUCUGUAUAACAGGCAGUGAUGUCAACACAGGAUUCUGGUUCCUAAGCUCAGUUUAUGAUUACGAGCAUGGCUUUGCUCUCCUGUGCUUGCCUUGGUUGAAGAUACAGAGAAUGGGUUACAUAUGCAACUCCAUCAUGCCAAACCUGCUUAUUUAAGUAAGAAGUGUUCUUGCAAGAAAAUAAGCAUUGACUAGAGACGGGAGAACGUGGAUAAACAGAAAACAAAAAAUCAAGUUCUUGAAUUUUGCGGCGCUGGGUAACUUUGACCACGGUCUUGAUAUUAAGGCUCAGACUAAACUAAGAUUGAAGGCAAUUAGAAUUUUAGACCAUAUAUGAGCGUGCCUGAUCUGAAAUCCCUCUUGCAUAAAAAAUUAGAUUAGAUUAUUUUAUGCUCUGCUUCAACUGAGAUCUCUGAGUGUUGGAGCCACCUGCACUGGUGGGGUGUCCUGGCUCUCCCCCACUUCUGUCAUUACAGGGGAAUAACUCAUCUAGUGAGGAAGGUGUCUAAGUCUCCGAGAUGAUGGCACAACACACACAAGAGGAAAUCUCAGUGCACAGCCACGGCAAUGAAAUGAAGGAUCCUCUAUGGGAGUUGGAGGCUACAGUCAUGCUCUAUGCUGCUUCUUUUCUUGCCUGAAUAUCCUGAAAUGCUGAUGGUGGAGCUUCAAAAGGAAGAGCAGAAGAAGCCUAAGCCUAGAAUAGUUUAUAUAGUAGAAGAAGAGCAAACAUGAAACCCUUCAUCCCUGAAUGUGAAUUCUCCAACUGCUGUAUUUCCUAUGAAGACAGAUGUACUGUUACAAAUGCAGUUGAGAAGAAAGGUUUAGAUUGCAGAACUUCACCUGGCAUGUUAAGUUUAAAGAUAAAUAGGUCAAUAUUGGAUUUUAAACAGUCUCUUAUUGAAGGACCUCAACUGCCUCAACUCCAUCUAGACCCUGCUUGGAGCACAUCAAUAACAACCCAGAUUGAGAAGUUUAGUGAGUGUUCUGACUUCUCAGAAUGCGUCAGUACAUCCCCAGGCACACACAAAAAGCUGUUCUUGCAUAGAUGUGAUAGAUAUAGGUAGAAAAUGGUGUACAGAAGAAUGUAGGGAGGCCUUUCUAAGCAUCAGCCAGGGUGACAAAGCCUGUUGGACCAUGGGUUCCCAGGCUGUGUUCACAACCCUGGAAUGCCUACUGGAAACACUCCCCUGUAAUUUAGUUCAUUUGAUGUACGUUAAAGAUGCUCAUUUCUAGACCCCUAAGAGAAAUGUGAUACUGAACCCAUCCAUCCUCUUAUACCAGCAGGAAUCUAGCAGAUGACCAAGAAGCUGAUGGGAAGUAGAGAACACCAGUUUUAAUCCAGUUGUUCAUUAUGGAAAAUUAUGAGAAAAGUGAAAGAUCUUAUUCCACAGACCAAGAGGUUUACUUAUAUUUAACUGCAUAACAGGGUCACAACUCUGAAUUCCAUUACUAUAUAUGAAUGUUAUGGUAUGGUGAAGUCUUAUUCAGUAAUUACCUGGUCAGAGCCACAAGACUAGAAAACAGAUAUGCAGCCCAACUCUCAUGAAAUCAGUGGAGUCAUACCAGUUUAUACUAGCUGAGUAUCCAGUCUUCAAUUUCUAAUUACAAAAUUGAGAAAUUGCACUUUUCUGUGAUAUUUUGGUCAUACUAUACAGAAAAAGCAAUAAAGUAACAAGUUAUAGAUAUUUAUAUAGCCAACACAGAAGCAGAGCCAAUGUGACAUCUUCAGCAAUGAAGUCCUACCACCACAUUAUUACAUAUUUCAGCACUGGUGCCAUGUGGAUUACUGCUUAACUUUAGGGCAGCAAGGUAAGCUCAUUUUCUUGCCUUUGCCUUUUCAGUCAUCAUUAGGGCUACAACCUUCCCAUCCUCCCAGUACAACCCCCAGGGAGAGGGGUAAAAGUUACACAAUAGGUGUUUUUCCAUGGGCGGAUGUCUAAAUGUGAUGAGAAACAAUUGAAUUUUAAUUACAAUUUCGAGACGCUUGAAGUUAAUUUCUGGGCAGUGCAGAAAUUAGUAGUUCUUGCUGCUGCCAGAAGCUGCAUGCUCUCCUCUUCUGAUGUUAGCAGGAUUACAGGUCCUCGGCUUUUGGCAGAAACAACUCCCAAAGUAGUAGGUCCUUUCCUCAUGCCACAAAAGGCAGGGUGAGAGACCUGCUGCUGUCAGACCCAAUCGAGUGUCAAUGCAGAGCAAAUGCAACAAAAAAAUAGGGUGUCUGCCCCAGAUUUACACUACCAGAGAUGCAUUCUCAUUAGGUAUUUACAGCGUAGUAGCAUUGUCCACGGUAAGAAGGUAAAUUUGUUAAGUGCUGCACAAAACAUUUAAUCAGAAAAAAUUCCUGCGUACAAAAGCCCUACAAAAAAGAUUGCGGAAGGAGUGUGGCAAACAAUGGGAUAUCCUGGGGAAAAAAAGUACACCAGUAAUUGCAGCAAAGGCAGCCAGCUAUGGAGGCUUUUUCUACAUGCAGGGUAGUGAUAAUUCUGCCAAGGAGGCAAGUUGUUUAUUUCCUUUUUAGCUAUGACAUUUCCUUUGCAUUACUGAAUCAUGGUUUGCUAAAAGCUUACAAACAUCAAGAUCAUAAAGCUUUAGAAACCUUGUCAUAUCUUAGAUAAUAUGUACCAAUUUAUCAAAAGCUCUAUAAAAAUAUGUAAUCCAAUAGCGUUUGGGGUUGGGCUUGUUUGGGCUUGGGGUUUUUUUAAUAACUUUAGUAAAGAAGGCAUAAUUUUGUUUUUGUCUUCUUAGAAGAUUUUGAAACUAAUAUAAAUGAUAUUCCCAAAAUCUGUAUAUAUGUACUUGUAGAUGAGGAAAUAGAAAAUAUAAGAUGCUUGAAAAUAGUGCCAGUCAUUUAAUCUGCUCUGUAGUUGGAUGGCAGUGUGUCAACCAUUUUCACCAAAAGCAGGAGACCCACUGCAGAGCACUGUCUUUUCAAUUUUGGGCUAGGCAAUCAUAGCCCCAAAGAGGUCACGAAAGGGAUCAGCCUUCCCCAUGUUACCCCUCUGGUCAGAUGGCAGCUCCAACCAAAAAGAGAAAAGAGAAGAAAAGAGGACAGCCGUAGGCACCUGGCAUUGCCUCCUUGCACAGAAAAAAGCAGGCAGGGGAGGAGGGACCUGGUGUCCAGCCAGGUGUGGCAGGUCUUACAUGCCAUGCUGCCAAGCUGAAGCUUAUCCUCUGAAUGGGAUUUUGCAAAGGAAGGCAUGGAGAAGGUAACACGGGGAAACUGCUUCCCUUGCAAAUGGUUAUGUGUCCCCAUUUACCUUCUCCAAUGAGAUGGCUGAACAUUUGGCUGAAAAUUUAGAGCCUGGCAUUGAAAAUGUUACUGUCUGUGUCCACCAGCACAUUACAAGGCAUAGGUAAAACAUCGUUCUUAACAUGUUCUUGCAGUUCUCUUAUGGCAAAGCCAGUUCGCAUCUUAGUUACAGGAAAAUUAAAUGUUGGGAAGAUUACUUUUACAAACUAAUACCAAAUGAUUUUUUCCUAAUGCUGUUUUUUAUAUACACUGCCCAGAGUUCAGUUGUGUCUAUUAUUUCUUCUACUCAUUUCAACAAGGGUAAUUUUACUUAGAGCAAAUUUUUGCACUGUACUACUGGAUACUAGGGUAAAGGUUGUUGCAGUAAAGCAAUGUCACUACUUUAGAGGCUUCACCAUAAUGUUUUGCUACUGAAUUUUUUCUGAGAAGUAGAGGCACAAGCUCACAAAUGCCCUAUCCGAGUCCUUAUAGAGCCAUCCUAAGAACCUCAGUGAUGUGCUUAUCAGGCUUGCACACAACAUCUAGUCUCAGACCCUGCUUCGAGCCCUUGGGAGAUGGGUUUUCAGUUAAGACUACAGAAAAAGGAAAAGCAUGGCCACAAUCAACAAUCAAUCAUUUUAAUAGCUGUUAACGUUAAGAACAUAUUCCUAACCUUACGUGUUGCAGCCAGCUACGCAGUAGGAGAUGUGGUUUUGCCUGAACCGGUGAUCCUUCCAUACAUAAAUGCAGUUAUGCUUAAGGAAGCUGGGAUGCCACAGUUUCAAUCAUUUCUUCAUUCUACCAAGGUUACUUGGGACCCAUAAAAUUCCUCUUUUAUUUGGCACUUCCUUUAAAGCAGAUUUGUCCCCUUGAGUAAAUUUUUCCUUGGCUGUAAUGUGAGAUAUAGAUACAUAUAUAUGUGCACACACAUCUGUAUGUGUCAUAGAUAUCUAUAUUUAUUUAUCACACUUAUUCCAUUGAAUAGAUGUUAUUAUAGAUUUGAAACAAACAAACAAAAGUACAAAUUUCUCUACUCAGUGUAUAAGAGAAGUUGGUAUCACCCAGUUUAGAAGUAUAAGCUCCAUUUAUUUUUUUUUCCCCAUGAACACCACCUACCCCAGAAGCACCUGAUGUCAGUAGCAGGUUACAUACCCAUACAGCCUAAAAAUACUUAACACUUUCUACAGAUACAAAUACAUAAUAUGAAGAACUCCAAGUAUCCUUUGAACAUGGAAGAGUCACUACACUGUAUCCUACUAAAAUGCAUACUACUUUCAAUGUUUUUCACCUGGACAAGGUGAAUAGGGAAGAAGGGAAGGAGGGAGGAAAGCAAAUUAUUCAGAGAAAAUUCAAGUUAGAAAAAGAAAAAAAUAUUUUCUUACCUAAAGUUCAGACAUCUGCACUCUUUUAAUUCCUUGUUUGAAAAGCUAUAUUUUAUAUUAGAAAUUUCUAGCAUAUUUUAGAUAUCUUACUCUUUUCAUGUGAAUACAAAAAUAUGAAUAAUAAGGUAAAAAAAUGUAUUAAACAGUGAUAUGAUGUGUUCAGAAAGCAUAUGCAUGGCAUUGCCUAGUUCAGUUCUACUUUACACAUUUUCUCCCACUUAGGAAAAUAUUAAGUUCCUCACCCAUUUCAGCAGCCAUCAUUAAUGGAUGUUAAACUUAGCAACUUAGUUCACUGGCAGAUUCCCGAGACUGGCAUCAAUGUAAGGAUUUGUGUUUUAUAUGAGUGGAAAUAACUUUAAAAAAAAAAAUUAUAGUUAUCCUGUAUUUGGAUGAAGGUCUGAAAUAGUUAAACACAAAAUACCAAAGAUGCUACUUGUGGACAUGAUAACUCUUUUUGGGGAGAGGGAGAAGGACAACUUAUUACUAUGAUGAGAAAUAUAAAAGUAUUAAGUAAAGUCUUUGAAGAAAUUAAGGAACCAUAAUUUUCAGCAAAGAAGAUUAUGUUAGUUCUAUGUAUUUCUGCACAACAAGACCAAAACGCUGGCUAGAUUUCUGAGCAUUUCCACAACCCAAACAGUAAGAGGAAGCUAUUCAAAGUCACGAGACUUUCAGUGUUGACUGCAAUGGAAACAGAACAGGGCUUUUGUCUUAAUCAGUUCCUCAGAAUGAACUAAUACUGAUUUAUCAUCUUUUCCCCCUCUGUGCUUAGAGCCAAAGCAUUACUGAUGUAUGUUCAGAAAACCCACAGAUAGGCAAUUAGACACCAUUCUUGCAGGUAUUUUGAGGGAGGGAGAUUGCCUAUUAUGCCAGUGCUGUACUUUAGUGUCAUAAGUCACUGAGAAAACAAAGAGGAAUUCUUAUUUUUGUGCUUUGAAUAAGAAGUCUUUUGUGACAGACUAUAAAUAUGGGGAAGUAAUUUCUAAGUUUAUAGCUACUACUCCUUUAUUAAGAAUGACAAAAUUUGAAGCAGUUUAAAUACUUACAUGGAAACACGUCAUUAUCACGAGUUUUUGUUGCAAAUGUAUUUACUACAUUCAGUCAACAUCCUAAGCAUAUGCCUAUGCCUGCAUGAUGAAAGGAACUUCAGCUCUCUCCAUACAUAUCAUAACAGUAAGGGGGGGGGAAAUAAAUCUAAAUGCUGUUUAUUCAGCAACUGAAUCUUAGCCAACAUGUACCACUAUUUACUAUGGUUAAUGGUAAUCUUACACAACUAGUAAACAAAUAAGGCCCUUGUAACAUUUGAGUGCCUGAGACUGGAUUAUCCUGUAGGCUCUUUUAGUUUUUUAAGUAUAUACUGAUAGAAUUAAACAUGGGCAUUUACAAGAAAAAAUAUUUUAAUUUUGUUAAGACUGAGAUAAACUAAU